AGCGAACGCUGGCGGCAGGCCUAACACAUGCAAGUCGAACGAACUCUUCGGAGUUAGUGGCGGACGGGUGAGUAACACGUGGGAACGUGCCUUUAGGUUCGGAAUAACUCAGGGAAACUUGUGCUAAUACCGAAUGUGCACUUCGGGGGAAAGAUUUAUCGCCUUUAGAGCGGCCCGCGUCUGAUUAGCUAGUUGGUUGGGGUAAUGGCCCACCAAGGCGACGAUCAGUAGCUGGUCUGAGAGGAUGACCAGCCACAUUGGGACUGAGACACGGCCCAAACUCCUACGGGAGGCAGCAGUGGGGAAUCUUGCGCAAUGGGCGAAAGCCUGACGCAGCCAUGCCGCGUGUAUGAUGAAGGUCUUAGGAUUGUAAAAUACUUUCACCGGUGAAGAUAAUGACUGUAGCCGGAGAAGAAGCCCCGGCUAACUUCGUGCCAGCCGCCGCAGUAAGAC
rnacentral:rRNA from 1 species